GACGAACGCUGGCGGCGUGCUUAACACAUGCAAGUCGAGCGGAAAGGCCACUUCGGUGGUACUCGAGCGGCGAACGGGUGAGUAACACGUGAGUAAUCUGCCCUUGGCUUCGGGAUAGCCACCGGAAACGGUGAUUAAUACCGGAUAUGACCAUCUUUCGCAUGAUUGGUGGUGGAAAGUUUUUCGGCCAGGGAUGUGCUCGCGGCCUAUCAGCUUGAUGGUGAGGUAAUGGCUCACCAUGGCUUCGACGGGUAGCCGGCCUGAGAGGGUGACCGGCCACACUGGGACUGAGACACGGCCCAGACUCCUACGGGAGGCAGCAGUGGGGAAUAUUGGACAAUGGGCGGAAGCCUGAUCCAGCAACGCCGCGUGAGGGAUGACGGCCUUCGGGUUGUAAACCUCUUUCAGCAGGGACGAAGCGCAAGUGACGGUACCUGCAGAAGAAGCACCGGCCAACUACGUGCCAGCCGCCGCCGUAAUAC
rnacentral:rRNA from 1 species